AUGCCCUUUUGCCGACGAUCCGUCUUUCUCCACGACUCCAUUUCUUUUGCACGAUCCACGAUCGCCGUCACGAUUUUUCCCGAUCUAGUUCCCUUCAACCUCAAAGCCCAAAUCAAAGAUUUCAUAGUUUUCUCCCUCUUCUAAGUCGUCACCCUUGUCUUUGUCACUGCUGCUCGUCGGCGUUGCUGCUGCUUGUCGACGCCACUGCCGUUCCGUCGACACCAUCGCUACUGUGCUCUGCUGACAACCCUCCACAACAAGUGAAAACCUUUGAUUUGAGUUUCAGCUACUUACACUCGAGGAGACUAUGGACGCUCGUUUUGAGGAGCUGCGUAUGGCUGUUGCUGAGGUGCAUGCAGAGCUUGCCGUCAUUGGGCGCCGACUGAUUGAUAUGCAGACGAGCAUUGAUUCUCUGACUGAUCUAGUGAGAUCUUGGAUGUCAAGCCACUCUUCUCUGCCUCCUCCUCUAGCGAGUGAUGUCUCAUCUGUUAUAGAUGUUCCUAUGAGUACUGCUACUGCUGAUCCUGCUGAGGGCGACACAAUUGAUUCUUAUGUCUCGUUAUGAUAUGUAGUUCUCACUUCUUGUAUGGAUAUGUUUGUUUGACUUGUAUUUUAUGUUGUACACUUCAGACACUAUUUUGUGUAAUACGAUAUGUUACUUUUGUGGAUUUAUACU